AUAUAGCAAGAAAAAAGAAUGAAAUCAUGUAUACAAUAUGGAUGAAUAUCAAAGACAUUAAUUUUAAGUGAAAGAAGUGAAACACGAAGAUUAUAUACUGUGUGAUUCCAUUUACAUGAAAUUCUACUAAAGCACCUCAGGAAUAAGCAUCCACAGCUUAAUGUUUACAUCAAUGAAUCAAGGCUGUUUCCAUAGCAACACCUCUACUUCUCCGGAACUGCAAUUUUAUCUCAAUUUACUAUUAAUGGAAGAUGGAACAAAAGCAAGCAGACAGAACAGGAGAAACCUUAACGCCUCAAGACGGACUGGCAAAGCAAGGAGGAAGAGGAGCGGACCUGUAAUUUGCGAGGGUUUUAGGGUUUAGUGAACCAUGACGUUAUUUAACAUUUAACCAUUUUAUGCUUAGGUUUGUAAUAAUGAUUUCAUAGGACCAUAGAAUCUUUGAGCUAAAAUAGACCUUAGAAGUCA